rnacentral:tRNA from 1 species
GCCGGCUUAGCUCAAUUGGCAGAGCAGUUGAAUCGUAAUCAAAAGGUUGGGGGUUCAAGUCCUCUAGCCGGCACCA